CAGGAAGAUACUGCUGCAUUGUUGACAACAAGGAGGGAAACAUUACUAGACAGAAAACAGUGCAACUCCAUGUCAGAGGGAGAACCAGGAACAGAAGCAGCUCCAUUGAUCCAACUCCUCUGAUGGCUGAUCAAUCUGUUUGAUUGGUCUGUUGAUCAAUCUUUGAUUAUUGAUCUGACUUUUGCAUCGGUGUUAAAAUGGAAGUGAAGAAGCUGAUGGAUGACGGAUGAAGACAGGAGGACGCUCUGACUCCACCCACUGACUCUCUCACACAGUCUACACCCUCACUUCAGUUUUUAUUUCUCCUCUUGUUAUUUGGAGCUGCAGUGAUGGAAGAAGAGAUUAAAAGCAUUCGUUCAAAGAAACUUUAUUGAAACUGCAGCUUUAAUCUUCAUCAUCAUGUAUUUAGUGUCAGAAACUGUUAUAACGAUCUGUAUUGAUCUUUAUUACUUGUUACCUUCAUGUUAUUGUUUUAGUUUAGCUAUUUACUGUUUUAUGUUGAAAGAGUCCUUCCUUAUGUCUCUUGUGAAAAUUCCUGCAGCGGUUUUCCCGCCAGUUUUGAAUGUCUGCCUCGCAACAGAGUCCCUUUGUUGAAAUAAAAUCAUUGAACUGCA